rnacentral:rRNA from 1 species
GACAUAGGUGGCAAACGUUAUCCGGAAUUAUUGGGCGUAAAGGGUGCGUAGGUGGUUUAAUAAGUUGCUGGUGGCAAAUCGGGGCCCAACCCCGUGGAAGUCGGUAAUACUAUUAGACUAGAGGAUCGGAGAGGUUAACGGAAUUCUAUGUGUAGCGGUAAAAUGCGUAAAUAUAUAGAGGAACACCAAACGGCGAAGGCAGUUAACUAUUCGAUUUCUGACAUUGAGGCACGAAAGCGUGGGGAGCAAGACGG